CUGUAGGGUACUAUAGUGCUAGGAAUGCAACUUUGUUCUGGGUCCAAAUCCUUAAAUCUUUCCCUCAUUCUGUACAGAGUAUUUAUGCUGCUAUCCUUUCCCUGUCACUAUGCCUUGUCAAUCUGAGGUCUUUAUUACUACUGUUUCUAGGCCUGUUCUCCUGCUUCUCUCCAUUUUUCCUGAGUUGAAACUACAGAUUAUGGAUUUUCUCUACCUCAUUGUUUGCUUUGACUACCUCCAUUGUUACCGCUUUCUACUUGUCUAUAUAAGGCCAUUAUCUCUCUACUGUUCUUAAUUACAUUCUGCAUCCUUUCUGUUGUUGCUGUCACAGGAUUUCUUUAGAACGUGGAUCUAUAAAAAUCUGUUGGUU